AUGAAUGAGGGGUCUAUCAGAUUGGGUUGCGCAAAAGGACUGUGGAAAUGCUGGGCUCCACUGGGCUGCAGACUGUUCAUGUGGUUGGCGCUGCAGCAAAGACUUUGGACCUCCGAUCGUAGAUUCCGGCAUGGACUUCAGGAUGCUACAUCUGUUUGUUUUCUAUGUGAUCAAGAGGAGGACUCGGUGGAGCAUAUAAUGCUCCAAUGUGUUUACUCGAGGCAGGUGUGGUUCCAAUGCCUCAGGUGGGCUAAGAUCGACAUGCGGAUGAUGCCCUCGCCGACGGAUAUACUACAGGAUUGGUGGCCAACUGUCCGGAAGCGGAUCACCAAGGCGUAUCGAAAGGGAUUUGAUUUGCUGGUGCUUUUGAUUUGUUGGAACAUUUGGAAGCAAAGGAAUGGGAGAGUUUUUGGUGGACAUGGCAUUUGCAAGGAAGCGGAUCUCUCCAUGAAGAUUCAUCAAGAGCUGCAACUUUGGCUAGCGGCAGGAGCAAGGAGUGUUCAACACUUGUGUGAGUAG
rnacentral:rRNA from 1 species